ACUGUUUCUACUGACAAUAGGCAUUUUUGCUUACUAUUGACAGAUUAAUUCUAUUAAUGGCUUAAAAUCCUGCUGUGGUUCUCCUGAACUAUUCUGUUUUCCCUGAGGACUCUGGUUCCUUCCUGUAUGGUCUGCUGUCUUUUGCUGUUUUACCUUUUUGCAUUGUAUGUCUGAAAGCUCCUGAAGAAACUCGUCGGAGU